rnacentral:tRNA from 1 species
CGCGGGGGGGAGCAGCCUGGUAGCUCGUCGGGCUCAUAACCCGAAGGUCGUCGGUUCAAAUCCGGCCCCCGCAACCAC